rnacentral:pre_miRNA from 1 species
UAUAUACUCCCUCCGUCCCAAAAUUCUUGUCUUAGAUUUGUCUAAAUACGGAUGUAUCAAGUCACAUUUUAGUAUUAGAUACAUCCGUAUCUAGACAAAUCUAAGACAAGAAUUUUGAGACGGAGAGAGUAUGAG